AGGUCCAGCCUGCCCAGUGAUAUUCUUAAACGGCCGCGGUACCCUGACCGUGCAAAGGUAGCAUAAUCAUUUGUUCUUUAAAUAAGGACUCGUAUCAACGGCAUCACGAGGGUUAUACUGUCUCCUCUUUCCAAUCAGUGAAACUGACCUCCCCGUGAAGAGGCGGGGAUGAAAAUACAAGACGAGAAGACCCCAUGGAGCUUUAAACCCAAUAUGUUUAUUGGUUUUGGGUUGGGGUGACCACGGAGUAAAAAUUAACCUCCUCUUUAUCCAAGAGCUACUGCUCAAAGAAUCAAAAAUUUGACAUUACAUGAUCCCAACAAACCAAGUUACCCUGGGGAUAACAGCGCAAUCCAUUUUAAGAACCCCUAUCGACAAAUGGGUUUACGACCUCGAUGUUGGAUCAGGGUAUCCCAGUGGUGCAGCCGCUACUAAAGGUUUGUUUGUUCAACUGAGU
rnacentral:rRNA from 1 species